rnacentral:lncRNA from 1 species
AAUGGUUCUCCUACAGCCCCACGUGACGUGUCCUGUCUGCCAGCCAAGGAGGGCUGGCUGUGACAGCUUCAUGGCCCCUCAGCUCUGCUCCUCACAAUGAGCGUGAGCCUUGACAAGUCUGGAGGUCCAGCGGUGUCCAGCUGACUUGUGUGCUCUCUGGCAGUUGGGAACCAGCGCAGCGUCUGCCUGCAGCGUUUCCAGUGGUUGGAGGAGGACGAAAAGUGCACAGCCUCUGUUGCAUGAAGCUGACUUCCUGGGAUUGCUGAACGGCUGCCUUUUGCCACCUCCUGCCUGUCGCAUCGAACACCAGGGCGAAUUGGGUGGCUCUACAUGUAACACUACAACAAACGUGACAGACGAAGACCCAUCCCUGCGGAGCGGCACUACUCCC